AUUGAACGCUGGCGGAACGCUUUACACAUGCAAGUCGAACGGCAGCGGGGGGGAGCUUGCUUCCCUGCCGGCGAGCGGCGGACGGGUGAGUAAUGUCUGGGGAUCUGCCUGAUGGAGGGGGAUAACUACUGGAAACGGUAGCUAAUACCGCAUAACGUCGCAAGACCAAAGUGGGGGACCUUCGGGCCUCACGCCAUCGGAUGAACCCAGAUGGGAUUAGCUAGUAGGUGGGGUAACGGCUCACCUAGGCGACGAUCCCUAGCUGGUCUGAGAGGAUGACCAGCCACACUGGAACUGAGAUACGGUCCAGACUCCUACGGGAGGCAGCAGUGGGGAAUAUUGCACAAUGGGGGAAACCCUGAUGCAGCCAUGCCGCGUGUGUGAAGAAGGCCUUCGGGUUGUAAAGCACUUUCAGCGGGGAGGAAGGCGGUAAGGUUAAUAACCUUACCGAUUGACGUUACCCGCAGAAGAAGCACCGGCUAACUCCGUGCCAGCAGCCGCAGUAA
rnacentral:rRNA from 1 species